AGCACAAUACAUCCAUGCUGACACAGAAAGGCAGUAAUGACUUGGCUGUAAACACCCAGAGCACAAUACAUCCAUGCUGACACAGAAAGGCAGUCAUGACUAUGCAGUGAACACCCAGAGCAAGAUAUAUUCAUGCUGACACAGAAAGGAAGUAAUGACUAUGCUGUGAACACCCAGAGCACCAUUCAUCCAUGCUGACACAGAAAGGCAGUAAUGACUUGGUUGGGAACACCCAGAGCACAAUAAAUCCAUGCUGACACAGAAAGGCAGUAAUGACUUUGCUGUGAACACAGAACACGAUACACCCAUGCCAACACAGAAAGGCAGUAAUGACUUGACUGUGAACACAGAGCACAAAACAUCCAUGUUGAAAAAGAAAGGCAGUCAUGGCUAUGCUUUGAACACCCAGAGCAUGAUGUAUCCAUGCUGACACAGAAAGGCAGUAAUGACUAUGCUGUGAACACCCAGAGCAAGAUAUAUUUAUGCUGACACAAAAAGGCAGUAAUGACUAUGCUGUGAACACCCAGAGCAAGAUAUAUCCAUGCUGACACAAAAAGGAAGUAAUGACUAUGCUGUGAACACCCAGAGCAAGAUAUAUCCAUGCUGACACAGAAAGGCAGUAAUGAAUAUGCUGUGAACACCCAGAGCACAAUACAUUCAUGCUGACACAGAAAGGCAGUAAUGACUUGGUUGGGAACACCCAGAGCACAAUAAACCCAUGCUGACACAGAAAGGCAGUAAUAACUUGGCUGUGAACACCCAGAACACGAUACACCCAUGCUGACACAGAAAGGCAGUAAUGACUUGGCUGUGAACACAGAGCACAAUACAUCCUUGCUGAAACAGAAACGCAGUCAUGACUAUGCUGUGAACACCCAGAGCAUGAUAUAUUCAUGCUGACAUAGAAAGGCAGUAAUGACUAUGCAGUGAACACCCAGAGCAAGACUUAUCCAUGCUGACACAGAAAGGCAGUAAUAGCUAUGCUGUGAACACCCAGAGCACAAUACAUCCAUGCUGACACAGGAAAGCAGUAAUGACUAUGCUGUGAACACCCAGAGCACAAUACAUCCAUGCUGAUACAGAAAGGCAGUUAUGACUUGGUUGUGAAUACCCAGAGCAAGAUAUAUCCAUGCUGACACAGAAAGGCAGUAAUGACUUGGCUGUGAACACAGAACACGAUACAACCAUGCUGACACAGAAAGGCAGUAAUGACUUGGCUGUGAACACAGAACAAGAUACACCCAUGCUGACACAGAAAGGCAGUAAUGAUUUGGCUUUGAACACAGAGCACAAUACAUCCAUGCUGACACAGAAAGGCAUUAAUGACUUGGCUGUGAACACAGAGCACAAUACAUCCAUGCUGACACAGAAAGGCAGUAAUGACUUGGUUGUGAACACCCAGAGCACAAUACAUUCAUGCUGACACAGAAAGGCAGUAAAGACUUGGCUGUGAACACAGAGCACAAUACAUCCAUGCUGACACAGAAAGGCAGUAAUGACUUGGAUGUAAACACCCAGAGCACAAUACAUCCAUGCUGACACAGAAAGGCAGUAAAGACUUGGUUGUGAACACCCAGAGAACAAUACAUCCAUGCUGACACAGAAAGGCAGUAAAGACUUUGAUGGAAACACCCAGAGCACAAUACAUCUAUGCUGACACAGAAAGGCAGUAAAGACUUGGAUGUUAACACCCAGAGCACAAUACAUCCAUGCGACACAGAAAGGCAGUAAAGACUUUUGUUGUAAACACUAAGAGAUCCAUACAUCCAUGGGAUGUGCCACAGACGCAAAUUACGCCCACUAUUGUGAACAAGGUGCUUGAAGUGAACACGUCUGGAUUUGUUAUGCGGACUUAGCACUCCAAUCCCAAAAGGCCUCGCAUUGAAUUGAUGCAAGAGAAGGCUUUGAAAAAUAACAGCAGUUUUGUUGAGUGGUCCAGUACGCCCUUCGACUCUCAACCUGAAGAAAGCAGAACUCAAACUCAUCUCUUAGCAAUAUCAGCAAGGCCAGCAUGUCAUCACAGCUUCUUGAACUUCAGUGAACUUUACUAGCAAACAUGACUAACGUCAUUGAAGUGAAAGUCGAUGACAACCCCCUUCUUGCACAAAUACUGCAACUCGCUUAAGAAAUUCAGCAUGAAGACGUCUUGCGUCAGACUACCAAGCCUCCUAUCAAUAUCUCCUCCCAUGUUGGCUACAUCAACACUUCCAACAGCAGAGCCUUGGUGAGUUCGACUUCCGUCUCAGCAUCGAUGUCGCUAAGCAAUAAUUGGAUGAUGGGCAUCGACAAAUUAGACCGGACAAGUCGCUCGAACUGAAACGAUCUGAUCCAACAGAGCCGGUUCCUACAGGAUUCCAUGCAAUAGAUCGUUACCCAGAUGAACAACAGGCUGUCUGGUAAGCUGGGCCCGGAUAGGUGCAGCCAGUCUAAAGCUGGGGCUCCAAUCUUUCCUGCCAAGUGGGCUGAUAUUACCUCUUCUACAAGGGACAUAUGUCAGUGAUGUGCAAAGAGCUGGUUUUCUGUUCACAGAGAAAAAUCCUAACAACUCCAACUCCGCCACUACAUCUCGAUAGACAACCCGAAUAUCAAGGCGUUAAGUUUCUUCUGGAUGCAGUUACAGUCACAGCUUUCAAGCCAGCAACUGUUGAUUUAUUGAGAUUUUCUCCUCUCUAUGUUACCUGACCUGCUGCCUGUGAACAUCCUGCGCAUUGAACCUUUAUCCCAUUCGAUGUAAUUAAACCGGCCAAUCAAAAAGACAGCCUGUUACAGCACUUGUCAUUAGAUUGACGCCAUGCAUGCCUUUGAAGAUCAUUUAUACAUACAAUUUAAGCAUGAUAGUCAAUAAGUGCCUGCGUUUGCUUCUUAAACGACCCGCAGUCCUGAGCAUUUACGAUGGAAUUCCUCAUCUUGAAAUAUUGGGAAGGCAGGAAAACGCCUGUCACUGUUAAGACAAAAACGAGGGAAUGACAAAGAACAAUAAGACCAGCCAAGUCCUGUGAUCAGCCAAGUUUUAGGAUCAGCUUAGUUCUGUGGCCAGCCAAGUCAUGCGACACGCCAAGUGUUUUUACCAGCCAUGUCCUAUGACCAGCAGCUUUGUCUCGUGUGUACAGUCUGAUUGUAUGGGAAGAAAAAUCUACAUUUCAUAUUGUAUGGGUAUAAUGAUACUGACAGUAACCUUGAUGAUUAAGUAUUUUGUUAUAUAUUGGUGAAUAGACCAAUAUGAUAAUGGGAAACUCAGUAAUAGCAGUAAUGUAACAUUUUAUUUCAAGAGCAAAAUAAUGCAAGUACUACUAUUUUGUCUGUAUUCAGAAACUGACUCUAUAUAGCUUUAUCCUGAUUAUCGUAAACAGACAGACAAAAAUAUGUUACAAUUGUUUUUUUUAAACAUUGAUUUUAAGCCUUCACAAACUUGUUUAAAUAAUGCUGAUACCUUGGACAAUAUUUAACUUAUUUAUUGUAUAAACAAGACAUGCUUAUUUUUAGUUUUUACCUAUAAAAUAGCAAUAUGUGCUAGGUAAAAUAAUUGAUCAGAACUAUAUCAUAGUUGUGAUGCUUCUAUUUUGAUAUGUCUGUCAUUUUGUCUGUGCACAUUUAUCAUCAGUUUGCUCUUUUGAGGCAGUAUUUUAUCAAGAAUUUCAUGUAGUGAUGUAAUAGUAAAAUAUCAAAUAAUAAUUUGAUUUAUUCAAACUAUAUUAACCUUCUGUUAUUAUCAAUUUAUUUAUUGACAACAGAUACUUUGUUUAAUAUUAACAAUAAUUAAGCGCGUUAUAAAAAAUGUGUGAAUGUACAUGCAUAAUAUUGUAUAAUUAAUGAACACAUUCAUGGAAAAACAAUUUAAAUAAAGGAAAAUUUAGAAGUGCAUCUUAAUUGUAAUGGAGUUUGUUUAAUUAUUUAAAAAGUAUGCUUUCAUUGUUGAAAAUAUGAUAGUAAUUCCUCUACAAGUAAUUUUGUUUCAAAGUGAUUAUUUUCAUGAAUAAUGAUCCUAGAUAUGGUUGUAGAUUGUUCUUGUUGUAUCAUAUACUGACAUGCUCAUCAUUUGUGUUGACAUUUGCAUUCUAGCAUUAAAAGUUCAUUAUGCUUUAAAUAUUUGUAUGUAUACAUUUGCGACCAGCUUUUCUAAUGUAAUAAGUGAAUAACGUAACACAGAUUACUGUGUCACUGUAUAUAAGUUUAUUUUGUCGUUUGUAAAUAGAUCAACUGCAAAGCUAAUGUUUUUGUUUGUACAUUAUUCAUAAAAUGUUGCCAUUUCAUACAGAUACAUUCACUGUUUGAAUUCAUUUGUACAAAAUUGUUUCAUAUUAAACAUCAUUUUCAUAUCAGGCAAAAGAGAAAAAGAAUUGCUUUGGAUGAAUGAGCGCAUUAACCUGUAUAGUAAAUUAAGACAUGCAGAAUAUCAGAUUAUUAACAUAAGAAUAUACUUUAAGCAUUAGAAACACCUUGUUUUAUGUCAAGCUGUUCAGUUAAUAUAAUUAAGCAACUAUUAUCUGGAAAUUUGAACGAUUUAAGGGAGAGCAACUAUGAUAUACUAAAUAAAAUUCGUCUCCCUUGUUAGAGUAUAAUUGUACCUCUCAACGUAACAAGAACAUUGAAUCUUUUUUUUUUUUUAUUAUUCCACACUAUAAACUUUAUACUAUAUUCAUUCAAUAAUCACUAAAGAAAUAUGGUUUGCACCAGUGUUUAUUUCUAUGCGUUAUACCAGAUUCACCAGUAUGGCAUCAAUUAAAAGUCGUCAUAUUUAAAUUGCCAAAAUUGGCCAUACAGUGCUAAAAGUUUGGUAUUCUGACUAUUAUAAGUGCAUGUUCUCAUACAAUAUCACAUUGUAUAUUUUAACACUGAGGCAAUAUGUGUUAAUAUAUUAAUUUUUAUUUAUUGACUUGUUGUUGCUUGGUAAGGUGUCUAAUUUUGAAUUGUAGCUGUUUAUUGAUUGUGACUAUUUUCCAAUUGUAAAUGGUUGCUUUUAGUUGAUUGUUUACAAGUUUUGUAAAAGCUGUUUUCAUGUUGACCGCUCCACAUUAAAUGUCGUUGACGCGCAUUCACUGCGGCCAGGUUCCGUAAAACUCCCAACAAAUCUGAUGUCUUAUGAUUGGAUUCCAUACACACGUGGUUGUUUAUACUCAGCUUGCUUUGCAUUAAACAUGUCUGCUUUGUUGUUGAACAAUUAUACACAGCUUUUUAUUGAACAAAAUUGUGUAUUAUUUCAAAUUUUUGCUUUCGAUUUUUUAUUACCAACAAAAAUAUAUUUUGUUUAUUUGUAUGCAUAUUUAGCUAUAAUAAAAUUGUUUCUAUAAUAUAUAAACAACCUAUUUAUAAGCAAUAAACUAUAUUGGUAAAAGUAGAUUUAAGGUUCAAAAUCAUGUCUUAAUUUGUUCGAUUAUUCCAAAUUUAAAUUUUGCAAAAAAUUAAUUUGU